CACUGAUCGUAGCGACCAAAAUAGUGGUGGAGCCUGGAUUUUCACUAAGGGGGUUCAGCAAACUCGUCGAAGGGUUCAAUAAAAGGGUUCAACAUCGAUCUACCAAAAAUAAAUAAAAAAUACUUUUAACCUUAAAUAAAUGGUAUAAUUUCCAUCGAAGAGGGUUCAGAUGGUCCAAUAGCAUGAAUGGAAGAAAUCUCGUCAAAUACAUGAAAUGUUCGAUCUCUCAAAGAGAAUGAUCUAUCUCCUCAGUUGAAAUGCCCUUUGUUUUCUUUGAUCCAUAAAUUUGAACUGAAGACGCAAAUCUCUUUGUAAUUUGUCACCUCUUAGUCAUUUGUACGUCUAAAAGAUGAAUAGAUCAUGCUAUAACUACAUCUAAUCAACUUAGUACUAAUACGCACCAGCAGGUUGAAUAAAUAUUAACCAAGUUGCUACAGAAAUAAAUGAACACUUGCAUUAAAGGGCUGUGAUUGAAGUAUUACAACUUUUGUUAUACUGUAUAUUUAGCAUCGAGUUGCCUUCUUAUAUACUUUGUAAUAAAUAAGAGAAAGUAUGGAUCAAUAUAUAGGAUAACCUUUUCUUUUCAAACAAUGUACAACUUUCUGCAAUGUAAGUUACAUCAACUGACAAAUGACAUAUACCCCAUGCCAGAGGAAAGAAUUACACCAUACAAUUAUGAAAAAGACAGAAUAAAGAAUCUUAUGAUUAAACUUGACCACAAUUUUCAGCACUUAAUGCUGCUAAAUAUUUUGGAAAGUGAGAAUCUAAAGCUAGAUGUUACACUGCUACAUCAACUAAUUUAAAGCUAGAUGUUAACACUGUUACAUCAACCAACUUCCUAACAAUAUUUGUAACUAACUUCCGGAACACUGAUCGUCUUAAACUAAGUUUACUGGAUAAAUUUGAACUUGUCAGGAUAUUUCAUUUAGACACUCGGGCUGAGUCCUGUGUCAACUGAACACCUUAAAUCUCAAUAAAGUGUUAACACUUAUCGAUUCAAAUUUUGAAGAAAAAAAUAUGUGUUUGCAUUCGUAUAUUAUUAAAUAGUUAUGUUAAUCACAUAAAAUAUGUCAUCUCCUUUAGUUAUGCACAUCAUUCUCAAGUGGAAAAUGUCUCGGAUUUUACAACUUAUUGAGGCAAAUGUGUGUAGUUAAAGGUAAUGACCUAUUUUAUGUGUUUAAAUAAACGAGAGAAAAGGCUCAAAUAUGUCAUUGAACAAUUAGAAAUGGUUCAUUUAUGUCAUUCAUUAAAAGUUUGGCUCGCUUGCUGUUACAAAACAAGUUCAACUAUGCCAUUAUUUUUUAACAGUGGUUUUGUAAAACCACCUUUGCCAUGUGGCCUCUUAUUAGAUAUCCACGUCAUAAAAUUAGACCCACUAAAAAUAUUACUCAUUUAAAAUAAGACCCAUUUUAAAUAACAUUACCAUAUUUCAUUUUAUCAGCACCCGAAUGAUCAGAUUCAUUAACCAAAAAAUUGUAAAAAAAAAAAAAAAAAAAAAACUAAUCUAUAAAAGACAAAGGAAACAUGAAGAAGGGUGCUAAUUAUACGGAGGACAGCUGAAAAAUAAGAGAUCAAAGGGUUUAAUUUGCUUUCCAGCAACUCAAUGGUGAGUAAUUAGUUCCACCAUAAUACACCAUAAAACAACUAAUUCAUCAAUGAUAAUCAACAAUAUGCAAAACAGUCACAAUACUUGCAGUUUUCAAUUUCAUCGAAAUCACAUAACCACCACCCCCCUCCCAGAAUAUUUGCGUUUUUUUAUAAACAAUUUACGUUGGAUUUUCAAAUUUAAAAAAAAAAAAAAAAAAUUGAUUAUUGGAUCUGAUUUGAUAUAGGGCAGAAUAAAAUGAAAUAUGGUUAUGUUAUUUAGGAGUCUUAUUUUGAAUGAGUAACAUUUUUAGUGGGUCUUAUUUGGUGACGUGGACCUCUAACAAGAGGCCACAUGACAAAGGUGGUUUUACAUAACCACUGUUAAAAAAUAAUGGCAUAAGUGAGAUUGUUUUGUAAUGGCAAUGGCAUAAACGAGCCAAACUUUUAACGGAUGACAUAAAUAAGCCUUUUCUAAUAAUUCAAUGACAUAUUUGAAUCUUUUUUCCAAUAAACAAUGAGAACAUGCACACAUAAAAAAAUCCAAAACUUAAACCAAAGUGUGUCUAAUGGCACACUAUCUUGGAAGUUGACGUGUUCAAUUGAGACAAGACUUUAUUCGAGUGUCUAAAUAAAAUAUCUUCACAAAUUUGAGGAGUUGGUAAUGUAUUAAGAAAAGAAUUACUACCUUAUUAUGAUACACAAUAUUGAGAGGUAACUAGUACUAUAUGGUAUAUUUCAAGAUGAACAAGCUUGUUGUUGCAAAAUGUACUUUUAUUUAUUAUUACUCCCUCCCGUUGUUUCAAAAUAAUUGUCAUGUAUGCUUCGAGUCAAUUUAAUUAAUUUUUAAAGUUAAAUUAGGAUAAAUUAAUUUAAUAUUUUAAAAUUUAAAGUUAAAUAUUCAAAUAUUAUUAUACAAAGUAUUAUACGUUAUAACUUUUUUUUUAUAUUGAUCAAUACGAUGAAUUAAUAUAUGAUUAAAGAUCAAAAUUUAUAUUAUUUGACCCUCAAAAAGAAAAUCAUAACAAGUAAAAAGGAAUGUAGGAAUUAGAUUACAAACUGCCUUUACUUUCAACACAAUUUUUUGAAGGGUUGACAAAGACCAAGACUUGGAAGGGUGUUUUUUUUUAUUUCGAGCAGUUUUCAAAAGGUAUUUUAUGUUAGUAUUAAAAUCUGAUUAAAUUUAAAUUUGUGCAUUGCAUUUCAUGUUUGGGCGAAGUGUAAAAAUAUCCGAUUUUGGAUCAUCGUUUAAUUUGAGUUCACUUUGUGAUUUUUUUAUUUUUUUUAUAAGUUUACAGCGUUAGAAAAAAUCAAACGUACACGACUGAUAUUGAAAAUUCGUGUCUGUUGUACGUAUAAAAGUUGUUGUAGAUCUCAGUCUUGUGUAGUUGAAUCUAUUUUGUCAAUUUUCUUUUUAUACUUCAAAUUUCACAAUUCUACACUAAAUUUAUUCCAAACAAAUUUAAUUUUAAAAUGUAAACUCCAUAUAUCACAAAAACAAACUUCAAUAAUCAGUAUGUGACUAGUUUGAGUAAAAAAGAUUGGAUAUGCAAAUAGAAAGUCUUCACCUCAAAGAAAUUUAGUUCACAAACAAAAAUAUUUUUUAGAAAUAAUUUACCCAAUUAAUAAAUUCUACCCCAAAUUCAUGAUUUUCUCAUUACUUUCCCCUAUUUGUCCCUACCAACUAGUCAAAAGAAAAGGAAAAUAUUGGUACAAAGUCAACAUAAGAAUAUCCUUGUCUGAAAAUUCUACUACUCCCUCCAUUUUUAUUUCUUUUUUCAUAAUUUUUAUUUCAUUUUUCUACUAACGUGAUUCUAAAAUUACAAAUAAUAAUUCUAAUUUUCUACUAACACUUAAGUAUGUUUAUGUAUUUGAAUUUAAAAUUACAACAUUCAACAGCGUUCUUCAUCUCUUUUAUUCAUUUCUAUAUAUAUAUAUAUAUGUAUUAUACAAAAAAUAUGUCUAUUGUUAAUUAUUCAGUUUAGAAAAUCAAGAAAUAAUUUAACACAAUUUUUUUAUCUAUUUCAAUAUGACUUACAAUAAAUAGAGGUAAUUUUGUACUCUUUUAAGUUGAACAAGUAAAAAUGCAUCGGGAAUACUAUUUAAAAUUUUGUGUUAAUAAAUAAAUGGGUGAUUUUAUUAUAUAUAUCACAGUUUGAAUAUAAUAAAUUUUUUAUUUUAAAAAAUGUAAUGAGUGAUGUAUCGUAUUUAAUAUUAAAAAUAAAAUAACAAAAUAAAUAAAUAAAGAUAGACUGGAGAAAUAAAUCAAAUAAAUAUUUUUAGAAAUGAUAAAUUAAAAUAAAUAUUUUUAGAAUGAUUAUUUUCCAAUUUAUCGUCUUUUGUUUUUUUUUUGUUCAUGUUUUUCAGCUGUUACUACAAGCCGUCGGUGCUCUGCAUCUUUCUCCUCCAUUUUUUUUAGCACAACAAACAUCACAUUUUUCCUUUGACAUUCCCCUUUUCCAUCACUUUUCUUGAUUUGAGUUUCAAGAUUUAACCCCCAAAAUCUCAUAUUUUGUUCUCAAACUCUUUUUUUUUCUUUUUAAUAAUCGUGGUAUUUGGGUCAGUUUUUUUUUUGGUUCCUUGACUAAAUUCAAGAAAAACACCCCUUUUGCUUUCACAUUGCCUUUUUCAUCACUUUUCUUGAUUUGGGGUUUCUCAAAUCUCAAGUUUUGUUCUCAAUUUCCUUUUUGUCUGGAUCAGCUUUUUUUCUUUUCUUUUGAUAAUUGUGGUGUCGAGGACAGCUUUUCGUGCACGUGGACUAAAUUCAUGGGAUACGUGUCACCUUCCAUGAGCAACAACAGAUAGAUUUUUGUUCUCAAUUUUCAAGAUUCAGAAUUGGGUAAUUGUCUAGAAAAAAACAAGCAGAAAAGAGAGAGGGAGAGAGAUGUAUGCUGUAAAGGAAACAGUUUCUGAGAAACUUUCUCGUUUAUUUUCAGCUUCACCUUCUAAAUCUGUUGAUCAACAACCUCAGGUUUGCCCUUUUUCUAUGUUGGAAUUUCAGCUUGUUGAAUCUUUUGUAUGUUUUGGUUGUUGGGUUAUGAGUAUUUUUUGUCUUUGAUUUGAUUUGUAUGUAAAGCUUAAGGUUUUUUUGUUGACCAAUGUAUAUAUGUAAUUUCAAUUAUUUUUGUUGGCAAUGUUUAUUUUUGGGCUGGUUAGUUUGUGCAUGAUGUUUAAGGAAUUGAGUAGCUAAAAAUAGGACAAAAAAAAAAACUUUAUAUGAUGUUUAUGGAAUUUAUACAUGAGCAUGAAAUUGGUAGAGUUACGUGUACUAGUACCUGUUGGUGGUGGGAAGUGGCCCGUGGAAUUAGUCGAUGUGCGCGCACAAGCUGGCCGGAUAGCACAGUUAUUUUUAAAAAAAAAAAAGAGAGAGAAGAAUGAUAUUCCUUCUGUUUCAAUUUGUUUGUCUGAUUUUGACUUGACACGGAGUUUAAAAGAGUAAAAGAAUUCUUUUGAAUCUCAUAGCCUUAAACUAAAGAUAUGUAAAAUGUACCAAAACAAGCUUUAAUCUUGUGGUCUUAAACAUGUCACUUGAAAGAUUGAAAUUAAGAGUUGCCAAAAAAGGAAAGAGACAUUCUUUUUGAAACGGAUAAAAAAGGGAAGUAAAACAAACGAAUUGAAACAGAAG
rnacentral:lncRNA from 1 species